CCAGGAUGAAAAAUUAAUUAUACUCUUACCUCGUUAUAGCUCGGGCAUGACGCAAAUUUGUUCCACUGUAUGUUAUCGCGAAAUUGCGACACUUAGUUCUAAUUUUACUACUUGGGAACGAACGUAAAAAAAAAGAAACACGACAAUUCUAAUGAAGUUGAUGAAGUGGACAAUUCAUCCUUGACACGAAAUAUAGAUUUGUUGCACUAUUAUUAGACAGUGAAUGGAAACUUGACUGAAAUGGAACUGCGAAGAAUACUGGCAAACACCUUUCAAGAAUUAAAAAAAAA